UUCGCAAUGCCCGAAAGGGUGACGAAGCGACGCCGCGUGGGUGAAGAAGCUCUACGGAGUGUAAAGCCCUGUCAGAGGGGAAGAACGGCAUUGAUUCGCAUAGGAUUAGUGUGUGACGGUACCCUCAGAGGAAGCUCCGGCUAACUCCGUGCCAGCAGCCGCGGUAAUACGGGGGGAGCAAGCGUUGUCCGGAAUCACUGGGCGUAAAGGGCGUGUAGGCGGGCAAUCAAGUCAGAUGUAAAAGGCGACGGCUUAACCGUAGUAUGUCAUCUGAUACUGGUUGUCUUGAGUUCGAGAGAGGGUGGUGGAAUUCCCGGUGUAGCGGUGAAAUGCGUAGAUAUCGGGAAGAACACCUGAAGCGAAGGCGGCCACCUGGAUCGACACUGACGCUGAGUGCGCGAAAGCGUGGGUAGCAAACAGGAUUAGAUACCCUGGUAGUCCACGCUGUAAACGAUGGGCACUAAGUAGAGGGGUUUU
rnacentral:rRNA from 1 species